rnacentral:lncRNA from 1 species
UCAGACAAAGGAAUGUAGAUAAACAAGCAGAAAGAAGAUGGUGAAUGUUCCUGUACUGUACUUUAGAAAAGAACAGGGCUGGAAGUUGAACGGCUGAAGUGAAACCUCAACAAUUUUAAGCUGGAUGAUGUCUUCCAAAGUGUGGUUGUUUAAGCAUCGCUGUUCUGUUCUGGCCUUCUUCAAAAUAAAGAGUGAUGAGCAGAAGUAAAUUACUUUUCAGAGAGAGAAACAUGAAACACUUUGUUAUAUAUUGGCACUUGGAGCUUCGAGUGUU